AAAUCUAAUUCACUCAACCCAUCUUUACUCAUCAUCGCCAUCUCCUCUCCCUCUCUUCACCUGAUUCACCAAAUCUCUUCAAAAACCCUAAUUCUUUUACAUAAAAUCAAACCAUUUACUUUCUAUGGUUCUCCUAGGUUAGGUUAGGUCUUGGUCGGGAAGAACACAGACUCAGAGUAGACAUGAAUUGUGCUGCUACCAGUUGCUGGUUCGAUGUGGGGUUCUGAUUUUAACUUUGAUGUCGUGAAUUAAAUGGGUUUACAUUUAAAUCAGAGAAGAAGUGAAUCGGAAGGAAUUAGUGAGGAUUUUGUGGAGUUACUCAGCGGAGAAGUGAAUCGGAAGGAAUUGGUUUACUUAUGGAAUUUGAUGGGGGUUUGAUGUUAUGAAUGGCUGAGCAGUUAGUGAAUAUGACUUUUUCUGUUUGCAUAAUAUGCUAGAGGUAAUUUGCUGUCUGGAGGGAGCUAGAAUUGGCAUCCAGUAUGAGACAUCUUUUGUCAUUAAAACCCAUCAUUUCUAAUGUUUAUAAUUUUGGCACAAGCUUUGAACCAUACCAAUGGUACACAGAGCUUUGCCAGAAAAGCGUAUGAAAGGUUAAUCCACUCAGUAUGUUCAUGGUAACUCACAAGGCUAGUAAGCUGGGUAAACUGUGUGAAGAUUGGCAGAGAUGAAACGGAUUAGUGAGAAGGUUCAUCUAGGGAAGUCAGCUACACGCCUGAGGAAAUAUAUGCAAUGGUUGUUGAUCCUCGCCGUACUGGUGUUAAGCGUGCUCGUAAGUCAAAAGUUGCUACUCGCUUCAGUCUAUAUGAGAAAAAUGAAGCACACAUGUCUGCUCUCCAAGAACAGCUGGACUCUGAAAAGAAGAAAGUUGCAAAGCAAGACAAAGAUAUCUCAAAGCUUCAACG